GACGGUAAACGAGUAAAAAAGAAGUAGUAAAAAGAAAAAAAUCUGUACGAAGAGUGAAGUAACAUUAAUUUUCAGUUGGUAAACACUGCAGCGUAUGGUAAAACCCACACAGUCAAAGACAAUGGGAAAAAUGGACCUGGAAAAGUGGAAUACCCUGUUUUGUUGUCAAUACAAAACUUGAAACAGCAAUCGUGGACAGCCUGCGUGGACCAUCCCGGGUAAACAAUAUGCUGUCAAGAUUAAACCUCAAAACAAUAUCCUAUGGAACAGCCAGCUGUUGAAGGAAGAGAACUCCCGCAGAUUACUCAUAUGCAACGGUGGAAGUCCAGUCUGGUAGUCAGUUCGCAACAUACGUCACGCCAACUGUUCCAAUAAGUCAAGAGGCUUUACAAGUUACAGGCAUUUCAAUGACUGCUGGGACAAUGACAUUCAUUGGAUAAGUUGUGCAGCCAGUGUCGGGACAAUAACAUUCAUUAGAUAAGUUGUGCAGCCAGUGUCAAUAUGAGUGGCUGUCGAAAGAAUUAUACAUUGGCUUGAAAAGUUUCGAGAUGUGUGCUUAGUUGUUCAUAAUGGUCGUCGUUUUUAGCUCGACUAUUAUAUAUGAAGUAUAUAUAGUGGAGCUAUCCUACUCACCCCGGCGUCGGCGUGAGCAUCUGCGUUAGCGUUAGCGUGCAAAUGUUAAAGUUUUCGUACUACCCCAAUUAUUUUCAUUGUCCCUUGACAUAUUGCUUUCAUAUUUUGCAUACUUGUUUACCAACAUGACCCUAACCCAUAAACAAGAGCAGACAACUUUAUCAAGCAUUUUGUCAUAAUUAUGGCCCCUUUUCCACUUAGAAUAUGCAGCAAAUGUUAAAGUUUUCGUUCUACCCCAUUUAUUUUCAUUGUCCCUUGACAUAUUGCUUUCAUAUUUUGCAUACUUGUUAACCAACAUCACCCCAACCUAUAAACAAGAGCAGACAACUCUAUCAAGCAUUUUGUCAUAAUUAUUGCCCCUUUUAUACUUAGAAUAUGCAUAUUAUUGAUAAACCUAUGUUAAAGUUUGCGUACUACCC